CCCUGGGAAAGUUGGAAAGCACUUUGAAGAGAGAGUUAAAGAGGACGUGAAACCGGUAGGAUGGAAGCGGAUAGAGCUAGCGAAGCCGUUUGUAUUUAGUCAAAAGUCUCGGUUACCUAGGUCUUCAGCAUGUUAAUUCUUCUGAUGAUCGGGCUACCUUGACUGAGAUGUAUUGCAGAUGGUUGCGCUGAGACGUGUGGAGAAGUGGUUGAAUGGCGGGCUAGAGGCUUCCCUAUGGGUUGAACCUCGUCUGUUUGACAACUAUUUGAUCUGCAUGUAAGAGCUUUGGAAUUGAUAGUCUGUGGUUGUUCUCUUUGCUGGAGUCACAUGUGACUGCCAACUUUGGGGGUUGCCAUGGAUGGAGACGAACUUGCUCAAUCUCGGUGUAGAAGCUGGUCAUCUAUCCGACCCGUCUUGAAACACGGACCAAGGAGUUUAGCGUAUGCGCGAGCCAUUGGGUGCUGAAAACCCAUAGGCACAAUGAAAGUGAAGGCCCGGUCGCUGGGCUUACAUGUGAGUGGAAAGUCUUAGGACAACCACGCAACAUGGUCCCGUCCCGAUUGCUUGCAAUGGGGCGGAGAUAGAGCGUAUGCGCUGAGACCCGAAAGAUGGUGAACUAUUCCUGAGCAGGACGAAGCCAGAGGAAACUCUGGUGGAAGUCCGAAGCGAUUCUGACGUGCAAAUCGAUCGUCUGACUUGGGUAUAGGGGCGAAAGACUAAUCGAACCAUCUAGUAGCUGGUUCCUUCC
rnacentral:rRNA from 1 species